rnacentral:rRNA from 1 species
GACGAACGCUGGCGGCGUGCCUAAUACAUGCAAGUAGGACGCAGUUGCGAACGGGUGAGUAACGCGUAUGUAACUACCUAUUAGAGGGGGAUAACUAUUGGAACCGAUAGCUAAUACCGCAUCCUAGUAGAUGUACCUGCGUUGUAUUAGCUAGUAGGUAGGGUAAUGGCCUACCUAGGCAACGAUACAUAGCCGACCCGAGAGGGUGAUCGGGCACAAUGGGACCUGGAAAAGGGCCAGACUUCCUCGGGAGGGAGCAGUAGGGGAUCUUCGGCAAUGGGGGGAAACCUGACCGCGCAACGGCGCGUGAGUGGAGAAGGUUUUCGGAUCGGAAAGCUAUGUUGUUAGGGAAGCGGUACUUAACCAGAAAGGAACGGCUAACUACGUGCCAGCAGCCGCGGUAAUAC